rnacentral:rRNA from 1 species
ACUAAGCGUACACGGUGGAUGCCCUGGCAGUCAGAGGCGAUGAAGGACGUGCUAAUCUGCGAUAAGCGUCGGUAAGGUGAUAUGAACCGUUAUAACCGGCGAUUUCCGAAUGGGGAAACCCAGUGUGAUUCGUCACACUAUCGUUAAGUGAAUACAUAGCUUAACGAAGCGAACCGGGGGAACUGAAACAUCUAAGUACCCCGAGGAAAAGAAAUCAACCGAGAUUCCCCCAG